rnacentral:rRNA from 1 species
UAUCGGAUUGGUACUAAGCCAUGCGAGUCAUUGUAGCAAUACAAGGCAUACGGCUCAGUAACGCGUAGUCAACCUAACCUAUGGACGGGAAUAACCUCGGGAAACUGAGAAUAAUGCCCGAUAGAACAUUAUGCCUGGAAUGGUUUAUGUUCCAAAUGAUUUAUCGCCGUAGGAUGGGACUGCGGCCUAUCAGUUUGUUGGUGAGGUAAUGGCCCACCAAGACUAUUACAGGUACGGGCUCUGAGAGGAGUAGCCCGGAGAUGGGUACUGAGACACGGACCCAGGCCCUAUGGGGCGCAGCAGGCGAGAAAACUUUGCAAUGUGCGAAAGCACGACAAGGUUAAUCCGAGUGGUUUCUGCUAAAGGAACCUUUUGUCAGUCCUAGAAACACUGAUGAAUAAGGGGUGGGCAAGUUCUGGUGUCAGCCGCCGUGGUAAAACCAGCACCUCAAGUGGUCAGGAUGAUUAUUGGGCCUAAAGCAUCCGUAGCCGGCUCUGUAAGUUUUCGGUUAAAUCUGUACGCUCAACGUACAGGCUGCCGGGAAUACUGCAAAGCUAGGGAGUGGGAGAGGUAGACGGUACUCGGUAGGAAGGGGUAAAAUCCUUUGAUCUAUUGAUGACCACCUGUGGCGAAGGCGGUCUACCAGAACACGUCCGACGGUGAGGGAUGAAAGCUGGGGGAGCAAACCGGAUUAGAUACCCGGGUAGUCCCAGCUGUAAACCAUGCAAACUCAGUGAUGCAUUGGCUUGUGGCCAAUGCAGUGCUGCAGGGAAGCCGUUAAGUUUGCCGCCUGGGAAGUACGUACGCAAGUAUGAAACUUAAAGGAAUUGGCGGGGGAGCACCACAAGGGGUGAAGCCUGCGGUUCAAUUGGAUUC